ACGAACGCUGGCGGCGUGCCUAAUACAUGCAAGUAGAACGCUGAAGAGAGGAGCUUGCUCUUCUUGGAUGAGUUGCGAACGGGUGAGUAACGCGUAGGUAACCUGCCUUGUAGCGGGGGAUAACUAUUGGAAACGAUAGCUAAUACCGCAUAACAAUGGAUGACACAUGUCAUUUAUUUGAAAGGGGCAAUUGUUCCACUACAAGAUGGACCUGCGUUGUAUUAGCUAGUAGGUGAGGUAAUGGCUCACCUAGGCGACGAUACAUAGCCGACCUGAGAGGGUGAUCGGCCACACUGGGACUGAGACACGGCCCAGACUCCUACGGGAGGCAGCAGUAGGGAAUCUUCGGCAAUGGGGGCAACCCUGACCGAGCAACGCCGCGUGAGUGAAGAAGGUUUUCGGAUCGUAAAGCUCUGUUGUAAGUCAAGAACGGGUGUGAGAGUGGAAAGUUCACACUGUGACGGUAGCUUACCAGAAAGGGACGGCUAACUACGUGCCAGCAGCCGCGGUAAUACGUAGGUCCCGAGCGUUGUCCGGAUUUAUUGGGCGUAAAGCGAGCGCAGGCGGUUUGAUAAGUCUGAAGUUAAAGGCUGUGGCUCAACCAUAGUUCGCUUUGGAAACUGUCAAACUUGAGUGCAGAAGGGGAGAGUGGAAUUCCAUGUGUAGCGGUGAAAUGCGUAGAUAUAUGGAGGAACACCGGUGGCGUAAGCGGCUCUCUGGUCUGUAACUGACGCUGAGGCCCGACAGCGUGGGGAGCGUACAGGAUUAGAUACCCUGGUAGUCCACGCCGUAAACGAUGAGUGCUAGGUGUUGGAUCCUUUCCGGGAUUCAGUGCCGCAGCUAACGCAUUAAGCACUCCGCCUGGGGAGUACGACCGCAAGGUUGAAACUCAAAGGAAUUGACGGGGGCCCGCACAAGCGGUGGAGCAUGUGGUUUAAUUCGAAGCAACGCGAAGAACCUUACCAGGUCUUGACAUCCCGAUGCUAUUUCUAGAGAUAGAAAGUUACUUCGGUACAUCGGUGACAGGUGGUGCAUGGUUGUCGUCAGCUCGUGUCGUGAGAUGUUGGGUUAAGUCCCGCAACGAGCGCAACCCCUAUUGUUAGUUGCCAUCAUUCAGUUGGGCACUCUAGCGAGACUGCCGGUAAUAAACCGGAGGAAGGUGGGGAUGACGUCAAAUCAUCAUGCCCCUUAUGACCUGGGCUACACACGUGCUACAAUGGUUGGUACAACGAGUUGCGAGUCGGUGACGGCGAGCUAAUCUCUUAAAGCCAAUCUCAGUUCGGAUUGUAGGCUGCAACUCGCCUACAUGAAGUCGGAAUCGCUAGUAAUCGCGGAUCAGCACGCCGCGGUGAAUACGUUCCCGGGCCUUGUACACACCGCCCGUCACACCACGAGAGUUUGUAACACCCGAAGUCGGUGAGGUAACCUUUUGGAGCCAGCCGCCUAAGGUGGGACAGAUGAUUGGGGUG
rnacentral:rRNA from 1 species